rnacentral:lncRNA from 1 species
GUCGGUUUUGGUGGCCGGAGGAGAGAGUUCUGGCGAAGUGGUGGCAGCCGUGUUUUCUGGUUUUUCCGGCGAGCUCCGGCGGAGGAUGGACGAUUGGAGUACGUAUCCCGACUCUCCUCGGCUCAAGCUUCGCGAUGGCACCGGUUUGGUGGCGAUCGGGCUUCGUUUCCGAAUCGACGGUCGAGAUCGUCCGCAAAUCUCUCCGGAUGAUCGGG